UUUGCACUUCAUAAACUAUAGCCUAUCAACUUCUAACAUCAAUCGGAUGCAAACCUAAGUGUAUGAUGAAAUCAGAAUGUACUGCCCUCAACCCAUAUUCCCAGUUCUAGAAAAUCCCCUUCCCUCCGAGGAAAAGGGAAAGUAGCGGCACAAAACAGGGGACUGACCUGACUGUAGCUCCUACUUCUCCCUUUGCUACUAGGAUGUGCC
rnacentral:lncRNA from 1 species